rnacentral:lncRNA from 10 species
UCGCCAGUUUUUGUAUGGACUGCGAGCUAAAGAUAAUGUUUCCCGACUCCUGGUCUAGCACAUAGAAGGAACUCAGUGUUUGAAAAAGGAAGAAGGGAGGGGAGGUAGAGAAUCAUAGAGUAGGUUGCUCUCUGGGGAAAAAUGAGUUGUUGUUGUUUUUCUGACACAAAGACCAAUGCACAGACGUCAGGCGGCAGGCCAGCCUUUUCCUGAGAACACCAUGAGCACAAGUUUAUUUCUAAAGCUCUAAAGCGAUGCGUCUGAGUCCCUAAGAUGAGCUUCUUCUACUUAAACGCCAAAAAGCGACCAUUCAUCAUAGAAAUUAUAGGUCAACUAAAAACAAUAAAAUGGGAGAACACAUAAGGACUGACUCUUGUAAGCAACUCCGGAUCUUUUUUAAUAGAUUAGCAACAUGUUGGUUCAUCAAAUUCCAAGUUAACAGAUGAAAAAUGUUGUGAAAUUCAUGGAAGAGAAGGGCGUUGAUAUUCAUUGGCCAUUCAGCAUGUACCAGGCAUUCAGGGAGAAUCCAUACAUAUAUGAAACCAGAGAGCUCAUUGAGAAUGGGAUUACUUCCUCAUUUUGGCACGAGGAAAUGUGGAUCAUAAACAUGAAGGAACUGUCCAAGGCCUUAUGGAGGCAGGAGCAGAGCUGAGGACUCUGAUUUAGAUCCAGCCAAGAUCUUUACUUCUGCGCCGCCAUGCUGCAUCUACUGAAUUAUAUGCUGUAAAACUGGAUUAGCCACAUCCGCAAAGGUGGGAAAUCUGUCUCUGGGGUGAGUUGAUAUAUCUAGAAAUUCUGAGCAUCAAGGGAACAGAGUCAGAGUCAGGUUAAGUCCUUUUGCCACAGUGCAAAGCUCCUGCAGAGCAGCCAGGGCCCAGCUCUCCCAGGUUCCUGGGAGCAUGAACUGACACCUCCCGUUGUUACCCGGCCUGCCUAAGAGUUCAGUAAAGUGUUGGAGUUUCCAUACGGCAUGCUGAGCUGCUCUAGAAAGGCACUCUCAGACAAUCUGAGGAAGGAAAUGGACUGAAAAGUCAUGUCUGUAGAAGCAGCAGUAAAAAGAGAGAUUUAUCACUUGUUCUGAUAAAUUGACAGUGAAAUUAAAAAGCUUAAUUAUUUCAGCAUGAAUUUUGAGAGGCUUCUUUUCCCACUGAACAUAUGAAAAAGUUUCAAAGCAUUUUGCAGCAAUAAAACAUCUGUGACCCAAUUUACAUAAAACAGA